rnacentral:rRNA from 1 species
GAUGAACGCUGGCGGCGUGCCUAAUACAUGCAAGUCGAACGCAUAGCGAAAGGUGCUUGCACCUUUCAAGUGAGUGGCGAACGGGUGAGUACCACGUGGACAACCUGCCUCAAGGCUGGGGAUAACAUUUGGAAACAGAUCCUAAUACCGAAUAAAACUUAGUGUCGCAUGACCCAAAGUUAAAAGGCGCUUCGGCGUCACCUAGAGAUGGAUCCGCGGUGCAUUAGUUAGUUGGUGGGGUAAAGGCCUACCAAGACAAUGAUGCAUAGCCGAGUUGAGAGACUGAUCGGCCACAUUGGGACUGGGACACGGCCCAAACUCCUACGGGAGGCUGCAGUAGGGAAUCUUCCACAAUGGGCGAAAGCCUGAUGGAGCAACGCCGCGUGGGUGAUGAAGGCUUUCGGGUCGUAAAGCACUGUUGUAUGGGAAGAACAGCUAGAAUAGGAAAUGAUUUUAGUUUGACGGUACCAGAACAGAAAGGGACGGCUAAAUACGUG